UACGAAGGGGGCUAGCGUUGCUCGGAAUUACUGGGCGUAAAGCGCACGUAGGCGGGUUCUUAAGUCGGUGGUGAAAUCCUGGAGCUCAACUCCAGAACCGCCUUCGAAACUGGGAAUCUUGAGUCCGGGAGAGGUGAGUGGAACUGCGAGUGUAGAGGUGAAAUUCGUAGAUAUUCGCAAGAACACCAGUGGCGAAGGCGGCUCACUGGCCCGGUACUGACGCUGAGGUGCGAAAGCGUGGGGAGCAAACAGG
rnacentral:rRNA from 1 species